rnacentral:rRNA from 1 species
GGCAAGUGGCGGGCGUUCCUAUACAUGCAAGUCGAGCGGACAGAUGGGAGCUUGCUCCCUGAUGUUAGCGGCGGACGGGUGAGUAACACGUGGGUAACCUGCCUGUAAGACUGGGAUAACUCCGGGAAACCGGGGCUAAUACCGGAUGGUUGUUUGAACCGCAUGGUUCAGACAUAAAAGGUGGCUUCGGCUACCACUUACAGAUGGACCCGCGGCGCAUUAGCUAGUUGGUGAGGUAACGGCUCACCAAGGCGACGAUGCGUAGCCGACCUGAGAGGGUGAUCGGCCACACUGGGACUGAGACACGGCCCAGACUCCUACGGGAGGCAGCAGUAGGGAAUCUUCCGCAAUGGACGAAAGUCUGACGGAGCAACGCCGCGUGAGUGAUGAAGGUUUUCGGAUCGUAAAGCUCUGUUGUUAGGGAAGAACAAGUGCCGUUCAAAUAGGGCGGCACCUUGACGGUACCUAACCAGAAAGCCACGGCUAACUACGUGCCAGCAGCCGCGGUAAUACGUAGGUGGCAAGCGUUGUCCGGAAUUAUUGGGCGUAAAGGGCUCGCAGGCGGUUUCUUAAGUCUGAUGUGAAAGCCCCCGGCUCAACCGGGGAGGGUCAUUGGAAACUGGGGAACUUGAGUGCAGAAGAGGAGAGUGGAAUUCCACGUGUAGCGGUGAAAUGCGUAGAGAUGUGGAGGAACACCAGUGGCGAAGGCGACUCUCUGGUCUGUAACUGACGCUGAGGAGCGAAAGCGUGGGGAGCGAACAGGAUUAGAUACCCUGGUAGUCCACGCCGUAAACGAUGAGUGCUAAGUGUUAGGGGGUUUCCGCCCCUUAGUGCUGCAGCUAACGCAUUAAGCACUCCGCCUGGGGAGUACGGUCGCAAGACUGAAACUCAAAGGAAUUGACGGGGGCCCGCACAAGCGGUGGAGCAUGUGGUUUAAUUCGAAGCAACGCGAAGAACCUUACCAGGUCUUGACAUCCUCUGACAAUCCUAGAGAUAGGACGUCCCCUUCGGGGGCAGAGUGACAGUGGUGCAUGGUUGUCGUCAGCUCGUGUCGUGAGAUGUUGGGUUAAGUCCCGC